rnacentral:tRNA from 1 species
GGGGUUAUAGCUCAACUGGUAGAGCGCCUGCUUUGCACGCAGGAGGUUUGGGGUUCGAGUCCCCAUAACUCCA